UCCUCGUUAGUAUAGUGGCCAGUAUCCCCGCCUGUCACGCGGGUGACGGAGUUCGAUUCCCGGCCCAGGAG
rnacentral:tRNA from 1 species